UGUGCAUAAGCAAUGGUAAAGUUCAUUGAGU
rnacentral:piRNA from 1 species